rnacentral:rRNA from 1 species
GAUGAACGCUAGCGGCAGGCUUAAUACAUGCAAGUCGAGGGGCAGCAUGACUGUAGCAAUACGGUUGAUGGCGACCGGCAAACGGGUGCGGAACACGUACAGAACCUUCCUUCGAGCGGGGAAUAGCCCAGAGAAAUUUGGAUUAAUACCCCAUAAUGAUAUUGAAAGGCAUCUUUUAAUAUUUAAAGCUUCGGCGGUACAGGAUGGGCAUGCGUAACAUUAGCUAGUUGGUAGGGUAAAAGCCUACCAAGGCCACGAUGUUUAGGGGUCCUGAGAGGGUGAUCCCCCACACUGGUACUGAGACACGGACCAGACUCCUACGGGAGGCAGCAGUGAGGAAUAUUGGUCAAUGGGCGCAAGCCUGAACCAGCCAUCCCGCGUGAAGGAAGAAGGCGCUAUGCGUUGUAAACUUCUUUUCCAGAGGAAUAAAAUGUUGUACGUGUACGACACUGAAGGUACCCUGGGAAUAAGCAUCGGCUAACUCCGUGCCAGCAGCCGCAGUAACAC